rnacentral:lncRNA from 1 species
AAUCCUCAGCAAUCGGCGGCGACCCAAGCAGCUACCGAAAUGCCAGCGCCCUCUCCUGUUGAGGUACACGAUCCUUCAACCCAAUCUUCUAAUGUUUGGAUGAUGCUCUUACUAAUUUCGACGCAGGUUACCGGUACGCUAAGCACGCUGCUCGAUCAACCAUUGGUCACCCUCCAAGAAGCCGGGCCGAGCAGAGCGCUGAUUGUCGUUGAGUUUUCUUCUUCCGACGAACCAAUGGUGCUAGUCCCAGAGUCGAGGGUGACGGUCUCACAAAUGCAGAUGGAAAAAAUCCGUUUUAAAGAAGUAAGAGAUCUCCCAACCUUUAUUGGCCGAUUUGUUACCACCAUCGGCUGACUUGUUCUCUUUUCAUCUACCAUUUUACAGGAACAAGACACCCCUAAUAACAGCCUCUUCUCGUUUGCGGUCGUACUUUCUGAUGACGAGGAAGUCGCUUCCCAUUAGGUUACUUUGAGCUCUGUCCCUGACGAUGUCCGCGCC